CGGCAGCACGGGUGCUUGCACCUGGUGGCGAGUGGCGAACGGGUGAGUAAUACAUCGGAACAUGUCCUGUAGUGGGGGAUAGCCCGGCGAAAGCCGGAUUAAUACCGCAUACGAUCUACGGAUGAAAGCGGGGGACCUUCGGGCCUCGCGCUAUAGGGUUGGCCGAUGGCUGAUUAGCUAGUUGGUGGGGUAAAGGCCUACCAAGGCGACGAUCAGUAGCUGGUCUGAGAGGACGACCAGCCACACUGGGACUGAGACACGGCCCAGACUCCUACGGGAGGCAGCAGUGGGGAAUUUUGGACAAUGGGCGAAAGCCUGAUCCAGCAAUGCCGCGUGUGUGAAGAAGGCCUUCGGGUUGUAAAGCACUUUUGUCCGGAAAGAAAUCCUUGGUUCUAAUAUAGCCGGGGGAUGACGGUACCGGAAGAAUAAGCACCGGCUAACUACGUGCCAGCAGCCGCGGUAAUACGUAGGGUGCGAGCGUUAAUCGGAAUUACUGGGCGUAAAGCGUGCGCAGGCGGUUUGCUAAGACCGAUGUGAAAUCCCCGGGCUCAACCUGGGAACUGCAUUGGUGACUGGCAGGCUAGAGUAUGGCAGAGGGGGGUAGAAUUCCACGUGUAGCAGUGAAAUGCGUAGAGAUGUGGAGGAAUACCGAUGGCGAAGGCAGCCCCCUGGGCCAAUACUGACGCUCAUGCACGAAAGCGUGGGGAGC
rnacentral:rRNA from 1 species